rnacentral:rRNA from 1 species
UACAUGUGGGGCAAGCGUUGUUCGGAAUUACUGGGCAUAAAGGGUGCGUAGGUGGCUUGCUAAGUCAGUGGUGAAAUCGUCCGGCCCAACCGGACACGUGCCAAUGAUACUGGUGAGCUCGAGUGCGUGAGGGGUGGGGGGAACGAGCAGUGUAGCGGUGAAAUGCGUAGAUAUUGCUCGGAAGGCCAAAGCCGAAGGGACCCCACUGGUACGUAACUGACACUGAGGCACGAAAGCGUGGGGAGCAAACAGG